AGAGUUUGAUCCUGGCUCAGGACGAACGCUGGCGGCGUGCUUAACACAUGCAAGUGGAGCGACGAACCAGGGCUUGCCCUGGGGCAGAGCCGCGAACGGGUGAGUAACACGUGGGUUACCUGCCUCGAUGACUGGGACAACCCGAGGAAACUCGGGCUAAUACCGGAUGUGCCCGCAAGGGGAAAGGAAGCUUCGGCCUCCGCAUCGAGAUGGGCCCGCGGCCCAUUAGCUUGUUGGUGAGGUAACGGCCCACCAAGGCUUCGAUGGGUAGCUGGUCUGAGAGGACGAUCAGCCACACUGGGACUGAGACACGGCCCAGACUCCUACGGGAGGCAGCAGUGGGGAAUCUUGCGCAAUGCGCGAAAGCGUGACGCAGCAACGCCGCGUGGGGGAAGAAGGCUUUCGGGUUGUAAACCCCUUUCAGUUGGGACGAAGCUUCGCCGAUGAAUAGUCGGCUGGAGUGACGGUACCUUCACAAGAAGCACCGGCUAACUACGUGCCAGCAGCCGCGGUAAUACGUAGGGCGCAAGCGUUGUCCGGGAUUAUUGGGCGUAAAGAGCGUGUAGGCGGCCCGAUUAGUCCGCUGUGAAAGUCCAGGGCUCAACCCUGGAAUGCCGGUGGAUACUGUCGGGCUAGAGUCCGGAAGGGGCGAGUGGAAUUCCUGGUGUAGCGGUGAAAUGCGCAGAUAUCAGGAGGAACACCAAUGGCGAAGGCAGCUCGCUGGGACGUGACUGACGCUGAGACGCGAAAGCGUGGGGAGCAAACAGGAUUAGAUACCCUAGUAGUCC
rnacentral:rRNA from 1 species